rnacentral:rRNA from 1 species
GAUGAACGCUGGCGGCGUGCCUAAUACAUGCAAGUCGAGCGAACAGACGAGGAGCUUGCUCCUCUGACGUUAGCGGCGGACGGGUGAGUAACACGUGGAUAACCUACCUAUAAGACUGGGAUAACUUCGGGAAACCGGAGCUAAUACCGGAUAAUAUAUUGAACCGCAUGGUUCAAUAGUGAAAGACGGUUUUGCUGUCACUUAUAGAUGGAUCCGCGCCGCAUUAGCUAGUUGGUAAGGUAACGGCUUACCAAGGCAACGAUGCGUAGCCGACCUGAGAGGGUGAUCGGCCACACUGGAACUGAGACACGGUCCAGACUCCUACGGGAGGCAGCAGUAGGGAAUCUUCCGCAAUGGGCGAAAGCCUGACGCAGCAACGCCGCGUGAGUGAUGAAGGUCUUCGGAUCGUAAAGCUCUGUUAUUAGGGAAGAACAAAUGUGUAAGUAACUAUGCACGUCUUGACGGUACCUAAUCAGAAAGCCACGGCUAACUACGUG